GUGCCAGCAGGUGCGGUAAUACGGAGGGUGCAAGCGUUAAUCGGAAUUACUGGGCGUAAAGCGCACGCAGGCGGUCUGUCAAGUCGGAUGUGAAAUCCCCGGGCUCAACCUGGGAACUGCAUUCGAAACUGGCAGGCUAGAGUCUUGUAGAGGGGGUAGAAUUCCAGGUGUAGCGGGUGAAAUGCGUAGAGAUCUGGAGG
rnacentral:rRNA from 1 species